rnacentral:rRNA from 1 species
UAAGGAAUAUUGGUCAAUGGACGCAAGUCUGAACCAGCCAUGCCGCGUGAAGGAUGAAGGUCCUCUGGAUUGUAAACUUCUUUUAUAUGGGAAGAAAUCCAUCUUUUCUUGGGUGGUUGACGGUACCAUAGGAAUAAGCACCGGCUAACUCCGUGCCAGCAGCCGCGGUAAUACGGAGGGUGCAAGCGUUAUCCGGAUUCACUGGGUUUAAAGGGUGCGUAGGAGGGCAGGUAAGUCAGUGGUGAAAUCUCCAAGCUUAACUUGGAAACUGCCGUUGAUACUAUCUGUCUUGAAUACCGUGGAGGUGAGCGGAAUAUGUCAUGUAGCGGUGAAAUGCUUAGAUAUGACAUAGAACACCAAUUGCGAAGGCAGCUCGCUACACGAAUAUUGACUCUGAGGCACGAAAGCGUGGGGAUCAAACA